AGGAUGAACGCUGGCGGCGUGCCUAAUACAUGCAAGUCGAGCGAACGGACGAGAAGCUUGCUUCUCUGAUGUUAGCGGCGGACGGGUGAGUAACACGUGGAUAACCUACCUAUAAGACUGGGAUAACUUCGGGAAACCGGAGCUAAUACCGGAUAAUAUUUUGAACCGCAUGGUUCAAAAGUGAAAGACGGUCUUGCUGUCACUUAUAGAUGGAUCCGCGCUGCAUUAGCUAGUUGGUAAGGUAACGGCUUACCAAGGCAACGAUGCAUAGCCGACCUGAGAGGGUGAUCGGCCACACUGGAACUGAGACACGGUCCAGACUCCUACGGGAGGCAGCAGUAGGGAAUCUUCCGCAAUGGGCGAAAGCCUGACGGAGCAACGCCGCGUGAGUGAUGAAGGUCUUCGGAUCGUAAAACUCUGUUAUUAGGGAAGAACAUAUGUGUAAGUAACUGUGCACAUCUUGACGGUACCUAAUCAGAAAGCCACGGCUAACUACGUGCCAGCAGCCGCGGUAAUACGUAGGUGGCAAGCGUUAUCCGGAAUUAUUGGGCGUAAAGCGCGCGUAGGCGGUUUUUUAAGUCUGAUGUGAAAGCCCACGGCUCAACCGUGGAGGGUCAUUGGAAACUGGAAAACUUGAGUGCAGAAGAGGAAAGUGGAAUUCCAUGUGUAGCGGUGAAAUGCGCAGAGAUAUGGAGGAACACCAGUGGCGAAGGCGACUUUCUGGUCUGUAACUGACGCUGAUGUGCGAAAGCGUGGGGAUCAAACAGGAUUAGAUACCCUGGUAGUCCACGCCGUAAACGAUGAGUGCUAAGUGUUAGGGGGUUUCCGCCCCUUAGUGCUGCAGCUAACGCAUUAAGCACUCCGCCUGGGGAGUACGACCGCAAGGUUGAAACUCAAAGGAAUUGACGGGGACCCGCACAAGCGGUGGAGCAUGUGGUUUAAUUCGAAGCAACGCGAAGAACCUUACCAAAUCUUGACAUCCUUUGACAACUCUAGAGAUAGAGCCUUCCCCUUCGGGGGACAAAGUGACAGG
rnacentral:rRNA from 2 species